ACAAGCGGUGGAGUAUGUGGUUUAAUUCGAUGCAACGCGAAGAACCUUACCUGGUCUUGACAUCCCGGAGACCCUUAGGAAACUAGGGGGUGCUUCCAUCUGGAAGAAUCUGGAGACAGGUGCUGCAUGGCUGUCGUCAGCUCGUGUCGUGAGAUGUUGGGUUUAAGUCCCGCAACGAGCGCAACCCUUGCCUUUAGUUGCCAGCAGUUCGGCUGGGCACUCUAAAGGGACUGCCGGUGUUAAACCGGAGGAAGGUGGGGAUGACGUCAAGUCCUCAUGGCCUUUAUGACCAGGGCUACACACGUACUACAAUGGCCGAUACAAAGGGCAGCGACACUGCGAGGUGAAGCCAAUCCCGUAAAAUCGGUCUCAGUCCGGAUUGGAGUCUGCAACUCGACUCCAUGAAGUUGGAAUCGCUAGUAAUCGUGGAUCAGCAUGCCACGGUGAAUACGUUCCCGGGCCUU
rnacentral:rRNA from 1 species